AAGCAGACCCAUGGGAAUGACUGUGGUGUCUUCAUGAUAAUGUAUGCCUGGUAUUUUGCCAUGGAGGCCAGCUUUGACUUCAGCAUUCAUGACAUGUCUCUCCUGAGAAGGUGGUGGUGUGUUAUCCUGGUGGAAAACUUUGGACUGGAAGGGUAUGCUGCAGUGCUACAAAAACAUUUGAAUUUGUAAUUGUAUUAUCAAGAAGAUUUGGGGGUGAACACCUGGCUCUAAAAUUCAACCUUCUGGUGAAGAAAAUGUGUCUUAAUUGCAGGUAUGGAAAGAAGUUUGCUCACUAUAGUGAGGAAGGCAGCGACAAUGUCCCACCUACAUUCAGGAUCAGUCGUAAAAGGACGCAUGCAAGCAGCACCAUG